UUCAACCAACUUUAGCACUACUAUAAAAAGGCGAGCAGGUCCCAUAAGCAGAAAAACAUAGUGAUCAGACAAACAAAUAAUUACAAUCAACAGUAAGAAAGGAAGAACAAAUUACACAAGAAGCAUUAAAAUGCAACGGUAAGUACACCUACCGUUUGCAUCAAGGACAGAUCAGAAAGCCCAAGAUAAAAUGAAACAUCGAGGUAGCGAGGUGUUAGCACACAAGGGAACAGAAGUCCUAUGAAAUAAAUAAAACACAAAUUAGUUGUCUUCCCCAUUGUGCCUUGAUCCCCAUUAGUGGCUUUAAACAAGACUUUAACCUCAGAUCCAACUGCAUUUAAUAAACAAGAUAGAAAAAAACAUCUAGGUGGUGAGGGAUAUUAGCACACAAGGUAAUAGAAAUACUAGGAAGUAAACAAAUCAUAAAAUGCGUCAACUUCCCCGUUAUGUCGUGAUCCAAUCAGCUAAGACUCUAAACCUCAAAUCCAACUGCAUGCAAAGUUAAGACAAAAUGAAACAGACGUGGGACUCGGUAAAAAAACACAGAAGGUAAAAGAGGUCCAAUGAAAUAAAUAAAUCAUCAAUUAGAUAUUCCCAUUAUGUCCCGACCCAAGUAAAUCAUCAAUUAGAUAUUCCCAUUAUGUCCCGACCCAAGUAGGCUUCCAUUAAGACUCUAAAAACCUCAGACCGAACUGCAAUUUAAAGGACAAAUCAGUUAGAAAAUCAGGCAACAUCAGUGCAGAAAGGGGGUAUUAGAACACAAUAUGGAAAUAAAUAUAUCACUAAUUAUAUUAUCUUCCCCAUU
rnacentral:lncRNA from 1 species